rnacentral:misc_RNA from 1 species
GCUAAACAAAUGUUUUUUCUUCAAUAGUUCCAUAUUUGGGAGAGAGAGAGAGAGAGUAGAGUUUAAAGUUGGUUAAAAAGAUGAAGAAGAGAGAGGAGCAACAGAAACAGGCUGGAGAACAUGGGGAAGCGUGCAGGAAACAGUGGAGGAAGAGAAUGGGUGCAGAGGCGGUGCGCAAUGCGCAUCAGUAGUGUCAGCGUUAGGAAACAACACUUGUUCCGGCAGAAGUAGCACUAAUAGAGGCAUUACCUUGGUCGUUUUCUAAAUUUUGGUCUUGGGAUUCUGUAACCGAAUAUCAAAACAACUCUCUAUUUCUCUCAGCAUGAGAGACCUAUCAUGGAGUUUCUCUCUCUAGGGGAUAGUACGGAACAAGAGAGGGGGGGGGGGAGGAAUGAAGGGGAACGUUAAGACUUUGAGAGACUAUAGAGAGAAGAGAGCAUCACUUGCACACAGCAUGUUGGUUUACAGCUGUGUACAGCCUGGCAUUAAUGCCAGUCGAGACUGAGGUUGACGCCAUCUGAUUUUCACCUGACUCGCUGCAUUCGAUUUUUUUAAAAAUAUUUAUAAAGUUUCCGCCAGACGUCUACAAAUUUCUAUGCGCUAGAAGAAUACGGAAUCUCUGCCCCUCCCUAUGAAAAUUGGUAUGAUAAUAAACAUAAAAUACAAAUACAAAUUGGCUAUACAUGACACGUGGCAUAUUGGAAUGGAAAUUGGCACCCGUGAGAGGCAUGGGACAGAUGCCGUAGUUUUGACCUUAUUUUAUCAAAUCAAUGAAGUCCUUGAAAUUAAAAAACCAAAAGACAGAAAAGG